rnacentral:rRNA from 1 species
UACGGAAGGGGCAAGCGUUGUUCAGAAUCAUUGGGCGUAAAGGGCGCGUAGGUGGUUCUGUAUGUCUACCGUGAAAGCGUACGGCUCAACCGUAUUUUGUCGGUGGAAACUGCAGGACUUGAGGCUGGGAGGGGCUGGUGGAAUUCCCUGUGUAGCGGUGAAAUGCGUAGAGAGUGGGGGAGAACACUCGUGGCGAAGGCGGCCAGCUAGACCAGUUCUGACACUGAGGCGCGACAGCGUGGGGAGCAAACAGG